UACAGAGGGGGCAAGCGUUGUUCGGAAUUACUGGGCGUAAAGGGCGCGUAGGCGGCCCUCUAAGUCAGACGUGAAAUCCCUCGGCUCAAUCGGGGAACUGCGUCUGAGACUGGAAGGCUUGAAUUCGGGAGAGGGAUGUGGAAUUCCAGGUGUAGCGGUGAAAUGCGUAGAUAUCUGGAGGAACACCGGUGGCGAAGGCGGCAUCCUGGACCGAGAUUGACGCUGAUGCGCGAAAGCCAGGGGAGCAAACGGG
rnacentral:rRNA from 1 species